CCUGCUGCAAGGACCGAGGCAGCAUUUCACUUGGGGAUAGUUCUAAAUAAGUGGUUGCUCUUAAAGCAUAUUAAAGCUACUGGUCUGUCCUCCUCACAAGUCUAUCUCCAGUGGCAACAGUGUGAAGUCCAGGAUCCCUCAGAAGCCAGAGAAGAGCAGAGGAACUGGAGAAGAGUCCCUGGAACUGGAGGUUUAGAGUAUUGUAAGUGACCAUGUGGAUGCUGGGGAGUGAAGCUAGGUCCUAUGCAAGAAGAGCCAGUGAUGGACCAUUCUCCAAGCCAUUCUGCUGUUUUAACUGAAAGAGUACACACAGAACUUCAGAUGGGUGGACCUAUUAAAGAGAACACUGCACUAUGACAGAAAUAAAAUAGUAAACUGAUUCAGG
rnacentral:lncRNA from 1 species